UCUCCAGCUAUAUAAAGAAGAAGAAGCACCUCCGAGGCUUUCAUCUAAAGGACUGGCCGUCCCGCAGGGCAUUCCAGAAUCAUGCCAGCCAAACCUGCACCCAUCAAGAAAGCCCCGGCUAAAAAGGCGGCUCCCAAGGCAGCUGAGAAGCCGGCUGCCCCUGCGGAAAAGGCUCCAGCCCCGGAGCCCGCUCCUGCCCCAGCACCAGCACCAGCUCCCGAACCUGCACCAGCCCCUGUUGAGGUUCCCGCACCGGUGGAGGCUCCAGCUGCCGAACCCGCUCCACCCGCCGAGGCUGCUCCUGCUGCCCCAGCCGAGGUAGAGGUUGCCCCGGCUCCCCCUGCAGAAGAGCCAGCGGCUCCUCCACCCCCACCUCCAGAGCCCGAGAAGCCUAAGGAAGAGCCCACGAGCGAACCUGUCAGCGUGUCCGUGGAGGACGUCAAUGACACGUCGUUGACAGUCAAAUGGAGACCCCCGGAGACUGUGGGCCCCUCGGGCGUGGAUGGCUAUAUUGUGGAAUAUUGCAAAGACGGAACUCAAGACUGGAUCUCUGCCAAUCAAGACCUCAUCGUCUCCAACCGCUUUGCAAUCAAAGGUUUAACAACAGGAGAGAAACUGCAUGUCAGAGUCAAGGCUGUUAACCCUGCAGGUCCCAGCAAGCCUGGGGCAUUGGAGCAGCCAGUUCUGAUUCGGGAGAUUGUAGACAGACCCAAGAUCCGCUUACCUCGCAACUUGAGGACAGUGUUUGUGAAGUCAGUUGGAGAGACCUUGAAUUUGGUUAUCCCAUUCCAGGGAAAACCUAAGCCACAGGUGACAUGGACAAAGAAUGGACAGCCUUUAGAUACCAAACAAGUUGGAGUGCGCAACAGUGAUAAGGACACCAUUCUCUUUAUUCGCAAGUGUGAAAGGAAAGAUUCUGGCAAAUAUGAAGCAACGGUUAAAAUUGAUACACUAGAAGACAAAGCUACCAUUGACAUUCAAAUUGUGGAAAAGCCAGGUUCCCCUCAAGGCAUAAAGUUGGUGGAUGUCUGGGGUUUUAAUGUUGCACUGGAAUGGACACCACCUAAAGAUGAUGGGAACUCAGAAAUUACUGGCUACACAGUCCAGAAAUCAGAUAAGAAAACAGGGGAGUGGUUCACUGUUUUGGAGCAUUACCACCGUCUGAACUGCACAAUUUCUGACCUCAUUAUGGGCAAUUCCUACUUCUUCAGGGUGUUUGCUGAAAACCGUUGCGGCCUCAGUGAACAGGCAGCUGUAACAAAGUCUCCAGCUCAAAUUCAAAAAACAGGUAUUGAUUACAAGCCACCCGAAUAUAAAGAUCAUAAUUUCUCUGAGGCUCCCAAAUUCACACAGGCUUUGCAGGAUCGAUCAGCAACUAUCGGUUACAGUACCAAGCUUCUAUGUGCUGUCCGGGGCAAUCCCAAACCCAGAAUUGUGUGGAUGAAAAAUCAGAUGGAAAUUAGGGACGAUCCUAAAUUUAUGCAGAUUUCCAGCCAGGGUGUGUGCACUCUAGAAAUUCGGAAACCAUGCCCAUUUGAUGGAGGGGUGUAUACGUGCAAAGCCAUCAAUGUCCAUGGGGAGGCAGCAGUUAAUUGCAAACUGGAUGUGAAAGCUACCCAGCCACCUCCAAGCAAAUAAGAUACCAUCUGUGUCUAAUAAGUUCCGAAUUAAGGCACUCAGGAGAGAUGAAUGUAAAUUACAAGAAAGCAUAUGGAUAUCUCCGAAAACCCCAGUAAAAAAUUGAAAGGCGAUGGGAUGUGCAAUGAAGCUGUUGUAUCUGUUGUUCUAUUUAUGAUUUGAAGCUUGAGCAGUUUGUCUUUAGUGCAGGGAACAGUAUGGUAUCUCAGAUGGGUGAAUGUCCUUUUGUUGUCUUUCGGAAUUUCAUUGUACUCAAUAAAAGUCAGUUAAACGGAACUGGUUCUGCAAGUAA